rnacentral:misc_RNA from 1 species
GGGAGAGUGAGUGGGCAACGGAACGGAGACGCUAAUUAGUUCGGAACAUCUCAGUUGAAGCCUGUAUUCAGUAGAUCGCCCCGCCACUGCUUGCCACCGAUCGCCUUCCCCACUGCUUCCCCACGAUCGCCUCUGCCUUCCACUUUGCAAUCCACUCUUGCAACCAUGGGUUCCGAUGCGGAUAUGGAGGAUUAUGGUUUCGAAUACUCGGACGAUGAACCUGAAGAGCAGGAUGUUGAU